ACGAGGACCCGGAAGCCAAAAACAAAAUAGAAUACAAUCAAUCGACGAGGGGGCACAUAUCGGCGGGGACGCCGGCUCACUGGAGUCAAACAUGGAUUCUAAGGUCGUAUCUUUCCAUGAAUAUGAUCAAAUCAAAUUCUAAUUCCUCCUUUGCGGUCCCUACCAUCCUGGCAUCUAGAAUCCUUUCUGCUAGAUGCCUCUCUCCAUCAUGGCACUGACGCCUCCGUGACCACUAGCAAUGUCAAUGGCUAACUGCCCUCUUGAAUGUUGGGCACGGAGACUGAUCCUGAAAGCAGCCGGAUGCAUCGCGGAGGCCGGAACCCGAGUCGAGGAAGUGAAAGUGGAAAGGCUGGCUUGGGAGAAAGCGUCCAGAGGGCCUGCCCUGUAGAAGAUGGAAAGGAGUCAGCAGGAAUAGGAGCAGCUGCCAUCUCUGGUUUCUCCCAUGUGGCCCUGUAAAAGAUACAGUGUGACUCAUCCUAUUUCCAAGCUUCCCUCAAAAUAUUAAGCCAAGAGGACAAGAGUUUGCCGCAGAUGAGAAAGGUCUCCUUCGAUG